rnacentral:rRNA from 1 species
UACGUAGGCAGCAAGCGUUGUUCGGAGUUACUGGGCGUAAAGAGUAUGUAGGCGGUUCUGCAAGUCUGGUGUGAAAUCUCCCGGCUCAACUGGGAGGGUGCGCCGGAAACUGCAGUGCUCGAGUGUGGGAGAGGAAAGCGGAAUUCCUGGUGUAGCGGUGAAAUGCGUAGAUAUCAGGAGGAACACCGGCGGUGUAGACGGCUUUCUGGACCACUACUGACGCUGAGAUACGAAAGCGUGGGGAGCAAACAGG